GUUUCCGUAGGUGAACCUGCAGAUGGAUCAUCGC
rnacentral:rRNA from 1 species